AAAUUGAAGAGUUUGAUCAUGGCUCAGAUUGAACGCUGGCGGCAGGCCUAACACAUGCAAGUCGAACGGUAACAGGAAACAGCUUGCUGUUUCGCUGACGAGUGGCGGACGGGUGAGUAAUGUCUGGGAAACUGCCCGAUGGAGGGGGAUAACUACUGGAAACGGUAGCUAAU
rnacentral:rRNA from 1 species